rfam:Glossina fuscipes fuscipes unplaced genomic scaffold Scaffold74, whole genome shotgun sequence.
CAGCUUAUAAUCUAGCAGGUAGAACGUCCGGCACUUACCCGGAAGACCCAGGUUCAAGUCCUGGUACGGUGA